rnacentral:rRNA from 1 species
GCCUGCCCAGUGACUCUUUAAACGGCCGCGGUAUCCUAACCGUGCAAAGGUCGCAUAAUCACUUGUCCCUUAAAUCGGGACUAGAAUGAACGGCUAAAUGAGGACUAAACUGUCUCUUACAGGCUAGCCAAUGAAAUUGAUUUUCCAGUACAAAAGCUGGAAUAUAACCACAAGACGAGAAGACCCUGUGGAGCUUAAAACCAAAUUCACCAAACAUGUCUCAUUGGUUUUCAGUUGGGGCGACUUCGGAGUACAAAAUAACCUCCAAACAUAAAACUAAUUAAGAACAACACAUCAAAAUAUGUUUAUAAUGACCCAGCAACCCUGUAGUUGUCUGAUUAAUGAACCAAGUUACCCCAGGGAUAACAGCGCCAUCCCCUUCUAGAGUCCCUAUCGACAAGGGGGUUUACGACCUCGAUGUUGGAUCAGGACACCCCAAUGGUGCAGCCGCCAUUAACGGUUCGUUUGUUCAACGAUUAAAGUCCAACGUGAU